rnacentral:lncRNA from 1 species
GGGUAGACAUAGAAUUUUCUUCUGUUCCAAAAGUCGCGAUUUCUUUCUUUCUCAUUUCUCAGUUCUUACUAGGCACUAGUAUCUCAGACUGCGCAAUUACUCCCUUGAUUCUCGAGGAAACAAUGUGUUGACGUGGUUGUCGCAAAUUUCAAAUGUAUCCAAUGAGCAGUCUUCAAGGUGACGUGUCCACAGGUGUAGGCUGAGGAUAGGCUUUUUCCUCUUAAAGUGUCGUGAUUGUAUAGCCUACUGCUUUGCCCUGUGUAUCCACCAGUGUAAAAAACUUGUGGUUUUGAUUGGAAAUAUCCUGUGAUUGUACCUUGGUUGCAGUCCUCAUUGCAGUCUGCUUGUCAUUUAGGUAUGUGGCUUUAUACUUAGGGGUCUUGAUCCCAUACUUGAGCAAGAAGAAUUACGUUCGGGUAAUCCGUUUUAAUUAUGCAGGUCAAUAUUACAGACGAUGGCAAAGGAUACUGCUCAAACCGGCUUAAGCUUCAAUGUGGGAACAGGCCGCAAAGCUGAAGAGGUGGAGGGAUGAAGAAAAAUCGUACAAAAGGAGAGAAAAGGUGGAUAGAAUUCAGUUGUGAAAAACUUUGACACGGCAACAACUGCGACGCACUAUUUGUCACUAACUGCCUAAAUCGCAUUACCAGUUCGCAAUCAUGA